UGGAUUGUUAAUGCUACUAAUGACAAUCUCCUCUCCCCACCUUUCCACCAACCGUCAAAGUAAUGAUGAAUAGAAGAGUCAAUGCCAUUGUUCUUAUGACCCUAGUCUUCUUUCUUCUCCAUUCCAACCAUUAUCCCCACACCAUGUAUUUUAGCAUAUAAACAAAACAAGAUGGGAAGAAACAUAAUAGUUGAUCAUGGAAUAAAAUCAUUGGGAGGUGGUGGAGAUCGUGGCGAUGGCGGAGGUCAAAGCAAGGGCAAUUAUGGUGGUGGAGGUCAUAGCGGUGGUGGUUAUCGUGGUGGACACCGUAGCCUUAUGGGUUAUGGUGGUAGAGGCCAUAGCAUUGGUGGUGGUGGAGGUCACAGAUCAUUUAUACCUUAUCAUCCUAGUUAUGGAUUACGUGGUGGGACCAGUACAGGACAAAGACCACGUAAUGAGGCAAGCAAAAAUUAUGGCCGAUCCCUAACUGUAAUUUUGACUUUAAUUACUUUGUUUUCUGCCCUUGUUUAGCCCCUGUGUAGAUCUAUAAGAAGGUCAAUAAGUUAAUUCUGAGAUUUAAUAAUACCUAAUGCUUUAUUGA